rnacentral:rRNA from 2 species
UACCCGCUGAACUUAAGCAUAUCAAUAAGCGGAGGAAAAGAAACCAACAGGGAUUGCCUUAGUAACGGCGAGUGAAGCGGCAAAAGCUCAGAUUUGAAAUCUGGUGUCGUUAGACAUCCGAGUUGUAAUCUGUAGAGAAGUACUUUAUGUCAGACAUUAGCUUAAGUCCUUUGGAAUAGGGCGUCAUAGAGGGUGAGAAUCCCGUGCAUGGCUUUUGUUCUUUCAUUUGUAAGUCUUCUUCAACGAGUCGAGUUGUUUGGGAAUGCAGCUCUAAAUGGGUGGUAAAUUUCAUCUAAAGCUAAAUAUUGGCAAGAGACCGAUAGCGCACAAGUAGAGUAAUCGAAAGAUGAAAAGAACUCUGGACAGAGAGUUAAACAGUACGUGAAAUUGUUGAAAGGGAAGCACUUGCUACCAGACACACUUGCAGUUGAUCAGCCUAUAAUUUUAUUGGUGCACUUAGCUGUACGUGGGUCAGCAUCAGUUUUGUUGGAGGGAAAAAGAUUGGAGAAAUGUAGCUUCACUUGUGAAGUAUUAUAGUCUCCGGUUAGUACCACCUGAUGAGACUGAGGACCGCACUUUUGUGAGGAUGCUGGCAUAAUGGUCGUAAGUGACCCGUCUUGAAACACGGACCAAGGAGUCUAACAUCUAUGCGAGUAUUUGGGUUAAAAAACCCUUAUGCGAAAUGAAAGUGAAUGUAGGUGGGAACCGCAAGGUGCACCAUCGACCGAUCCUGAUGUUUUCGGAUGGAUUUGAGUAGGAGCAUAGCUGUUGGGACCCGAAAGAUGGUGAACUAUGCCUGAAUAGGGUGAAGCCAGAGGAAACUCUGGUGGAGGCUCGCAGCGGUUCUGACGUGCAAAUCGAUCGUCAAAUUUGGGUAUANGGGCGAAAGACUAAUC